AUGCCUUUGAGUACGACUACGUCAACGACGACCCCUCCUUGCCAGAGCAACCAGGGUUUCGAAGAAAAGGAAUAUCAAACGGAGUCCAAACGGAAUGAAACCUUCGGAAACGUGAUUUUCUCAUCAGAUAAGAUCCAGGAGACUUGGACCCUCCGUCAAGAAAUCCACGAGAUGCUCACGAGGGUAGGGGCGCGCCCCCUGCCUCGUGGGCCCCUCAAAGCUCCACAGACGUACUUCUUCCUCCUAUAUAUAUCCACGUACCACCAAACGAUCGGGGACGAAGCCAAAAACCUAAUUCCACUGCCGCAACUUUAUGUAUCCACGAGAUCCCAUUUUGGGGCCUGUUCCGAAGCUCCGCCGGAGGAGGCAUCGAUCACGGAGGGCUUCUACAUCAUCAUCCAAGCCCCUCCGAUGAAGUGUGAGUAG
rnacentral:rRNA from 1 species